rnacentral:rRNA from 1 species
UACAGAGGGUGCAAGCGUUUAAUCGGAAUUACUGGGCGUAAAGCGUGCGUAGACGGUUAUUUAAGUCAGGUGUGAAAGCCCAGGGCUCAACCUUGGAAUUGCAUUUGAGACUGAAUAGCUAGGGUGCGGAAGAGGGAAGCGGAAUUUCCGGUGUAGCGGUGAAAUGCGUAGAUAUCGGAAGGAACACCAGUGGCGAAAGCGGCUUCCUGGUCCAGCACCGACGUCAGGCACGAAAGCGUGGGGAGCAAACAGG